UUUUGUUUUCCCUCUGCUGCGUACCACUUUCUGGCUCAACAAUGUGACAUAAAUCUGCUUAAAUUUGACUAAAACCGCUCUGAUCGGAUUAGAAAUCAAGGCUUGCAUAACAUUUUACAGUUUCAGCCGAGGGACGAUUGCACACAAAUGCGACAGAUUGGCUUCCUUCCACGGACUCUGAAAAAUAGAGAAAUAAAAAGGUCCUGUUCCAGGGCUCUCUGGUACGGAUGAGCACACAACUCGAAAGCGACAAAGGUAGGGCACACAUGGAUUUUUUCGAUUUGGAACAGUAACGUAUACGAGGUCGCACACCCCGGAAGGUUCAGCCUCACAAAAAACAACAACCAGAGGACGUCAAAGAUUUCACAGAUAAACCAAUUCGAGCAGGGCAAUGAAUGGGCAAAAAGGUCGAGCAACUUGCCGCUAAAAAGCGAACGUGUAGUCAUUGCACCAGAGCGAAUCUCUGCCUUCAAUGUUUGAUCAGGACCAAAAAGGGGUAAUACACAAAGGAUCCGGGGCUGGAAUAACCACGUGCACCGGCAAAGGGUUAAAAAAUGUGUGCCAACUUCUUGCUAAAAAGGCGUAAAACAAUCAAUUCGGCAAAUAAAAUUCGAUUUGCGAAAUGGGAAUCGCAAAAGGGCAAGGACAAAUUGGCGCGGUGUCGUCUGGAACGGUGUGAUAUAUGAUCUUAAUAUUUCAUGCCUUCCAUUCCAAGGGUUGAACUCUGACUCUACUCUCACGUAUGCAUAUCCAACCUUUGACACACAAAAAUAUUAAAUAUCCAGUACAUACUAUUGUGCACCUUUUCCAUAUUAACUUAAAAAAAACACCAAACAAAUAUAAGUUUAAUGUUUCUUCAAUUAAUUUACUCAAUAGAAACAUAUUUUCAACAAAUGGCUUGAUAUUUUUAUCCCAUCUUUUACAAAAUAAAGAAGACCCACAUUUGAUUUUCAAGCUUGUGGUAAUCUAAAAUACAUGUUCAUA